rnacentral:tRNA from 2 species
GCGGGUAUGGUGAAAUGGUAUCAUGCGAGCUUCCCAAGCUUAAGGUGAGGGUUCGAUUCCCUCUACCCGCUCCA